CAUGCAGUCGACGAUGAAGGGGAGCUUGCUUUCUGGAUUAGUGGCGAACGGGUGAGUAACACGUGAGUAACCUGCCCUUGACUCUGGGAUAAGCACUGGAAACGGUGUCUAAUACCGGAUACGAACUUCCACCGCAUGGUGAGGGGUUGGAAAGAAUUUUGGUCAAGGAUGGACUCGCGGCCUAUCAGCUAGUUGGUGAGGUAAUGGCUCACCAAGGCGACGGCGGGUAGCCGGCCUGAGAGGGUGACCGGCCACACUGGGACUGAGACACGGCCCAGACUCCUACGGGAGGCAGCAGUGGGGAAUAUUGCACAAUGGGCGCAAGCCUGAUGCAGCAACGCCGCGUGAGGGACGACGGCCUUCGGGUUGUAAACCUCUUUUAGUAGGGAAGAAGCGAAAGUGACGGUACCUGCAGAAAAAGCACCGGCUAACUACGUGCCAGCAGCCGCGGUAAUACGUAGGGUGCAAGCGUUAUCCGGAAUUAUUGGGCGUAAAGAGCUCGUAGGCGGUCUGUCGCGUCUGCUGUGAAAUCUGGGGGCUCAACCCCCAGCCUGCAGUGGGUACGGGCAGACUAGAGUGCGGUAGGGGAGAUUGGAAUUCCUGGUGUAGCGGUGGAAUGCGCAGAUAUCAGGAGGAACACCAAUGGCGAAGGCAGAUCUCUGGGCCGUAACUGACGCCGAGGAGCGAAAGCAUGGGGAGC
rnacentral:rRNA from 1 species